rnacentral:rRNA from 1 species
AUUGAACGCUGGCGGCAGGCCUAACACAUGCAAGUCGAACGAGUGGCGGGCGGGUGAGUAACAUUUAGGAAUCUGCCUACUAGAGGGGGAUAGCUCGGGGAAACUCGAAUUAAUAAAGCACACUAUUAGAUGAGCCUAAAUCAGAUUAGCUAGUUGGGGGGGUAAAGGCCGACCAAGGCGACGAUCGGUAACUGGUCUGAGAGGAUGAUCAGCCACACCGGGACGGAGACACGGCCCGGACUCCUACGGGAGGCAGCAGUGGGGAAUAUUGGACAAUGGGGGCAACCUGAUCCAGCCAUGCCGCGUGUGUGAAGAAGGCCUUCGGGUUGUAAAGUACUUUCAGCGGGGAGGCGUUACCCGCAGAAGAAGCACCGGCUAACUCCGUGCCAGCAGCCGCGGUAAUUC